UGUUACACAACUGGCGGAAAAGCAGCGAAAGCUGUGGUGGGGCAACCCACAGGGAGUGUAGCAAAGUAGUAAAGCCGACCGCCUGGGCACCG
rnacentral:ncRNA from 1 species